GAUGAAUGCUGGCGGCGCGCCUAACACAUGCAAGUCGAGCGGUAACAUGGACUUCGGUCUGAUGACGAGCGGCGGACGGCUGAGUAACGCGUGGGAACAUGCCCCAAAGUGAGGAAUAACUGCCCGAAAGGGUGGCUAAUGCCGCAUAUGAUCUUCGGAUUAAAGGAUUUAUCCGCUUUGGGAGUGGCCUGCGUACGAUUAGGUAGUUGGUGAGGUAAUGGCUCACCAAGCCUACGAUCGUUAACUGGUCUGAGAGGAUGAUCAGUCAGACUGGAACUGAGACACGGUCCAGACUCCUACGGGAGGCAGCAGUGAGGAAUCUUCCACAAUGGGCGAAAGCCUGAUGGAGCGACGCCGCGUGCAGGAUGAAGGCCUUCGGGUUGUAAACUGCUUUUAUAAGUGAAGAAUAUGACGGUAACUUAUGAAUAAGCACCGGCUAACUACGUGCCAGCCGCCGCAGUAA
rnacentral:rRNA from 1 species